AUGGCGGCGGCGGCGGGCCUCCACCAAGACGUUCUCGCCCGUAUCUUGCUCCUCCUGUCGUGCAUCGUGGACCGCGUCAGGGCGUCCGCGGUCAACAAGCACUGGCGGCGGGUCUCGCUCCAGAAUCCGCCCCCGCUGCCGCGCCUCCUCCGGCCGUCCACGGCCCGGACCGAGACCUACCGGAUCUUCGGCGGCUUCGUCGAUCUGCACCCGUCCUUCUCUGACGAGGGCCGCGGGCCGCGUUUCUGCGGGUCUGCUCCGGGCGGCUGGUUCGUGAUGUCAUCCCAGCCCUGGCGCGGCCACGCGCUCCUGAAUCUCCGCACCGGCGAGCGCGUCGCCCUGCCGGAGAGGGUGCGCAUCCCGCUCGAGUCCGGCGUCAUCACGUGCCCCAUGAUGAUCCGCGCAGCCGUCAUGUCCGUGGCGCCGCCGUCUGGCGCCUGCUUGGUCGCUGCGGUAACAUCCAGCCAGACCAACCUGGCGUUCUGGCGGCCGGGCAUGGAUUGCUGGUUGUCCGCGCCGGCGGUAGGACCGGUUAUGCGCAACGCCGAAGACAUCACUUACCACGACGGAUGGUUCUGUGCCGUCGAAUCAGACGAUGACCUCGUCUGCUACAAGCCGGAAAUCGCCCAUGCGGAAGACGGCGCCCCUUCGCUGACCAUUCGACAUCACGCCUACAAUCUCCAUGUCGAUGGUCACCGGACGGCACCCGGGGAGAUCGUCUCCCGCUACCUCCUGCCCUCCGCUUCCGGUGCCGAUCUCCUGAUGGUGAAAAGAUUCAUCGCGCCGGCGAGAGGCGGCACCUGCCGGUUCCAGGUCUUCAGGCUGCAGGAGGGACUGCCGGCUUCCUGGCGCCUGUACCAGAUGAGCGGGCAGGUGCUCUUCGUCGGCCGGGCCUGCUCCAAGGCCUUCUACACGGGGCACGGCGGCAGCCCGGGCUAUAUCUAUUUCCUCGACGACGUCUACACCGGUGGUCCGCACAGUGUCACCCAGCAGAACGAGUAUCCCUGCGUCGACGCCGGCGGGUGGUGUUACUCAGUCCCCGACGAGAUCCAGCGCUGCCUGCCAUGGUUGCCCCCCUCGGACACCUCGCCAUGCAUUUGGUACCACCAUUAA
rnacentral:rRNA from 1 species